rnacentral:rRNA from 1 species
GAUGAACGCUAGCGGCAGGCCUAACACAUGCAAGUCGAGGGGUAACGUGAGUGCUUGCACUUGACGACGACCGGCGCACGGGUGCGGAACGCGUAUGGAACCUACCUUUAUCAGGGAGAUAGCCCAUGGAAACGUGGAUUAAUAUCCCAUAGUAUUAUUUUAUCGCCUGAUAGAAUAAUUAAAGAAUUUCGGAUAGAGAUGGCCAUGCGUAUCAUUAGCUAGUAGGCGAGGUAACGGCUCACCUAGGCGACGAUGAUUAGGGGUCCUGAGAGGGAGAUCCCCCACACUGGUACUGAGACACGGACCAGACUCCUACGGGAGGCAGCAGUGAGGAAUAUUGGGCAAUGGAGGCAACUCUGACCCAGCCAUGCCGCGUGCAGGAAGACGGCCCUACGGGUUGUAAACUGCUUUUAUACAGGAAGAACACCACCCACGUGUGGGUGACUGACGGUACUGUAAGAAUAAGGACCGGCUAACUCCGUG